GGGAGGGGGCGCGCAGGAAUUACCGCCCUGUACCCUGCUGAACUUAAGCAUAUCACUAGAGCGGAGGAAAAGAAACUAACUAAGAUUGCCUGAGUAACGGCGAGUGAAGCGGCGAAAGCGCAAACUGGAUAUCUCUUUCCUACGGGUGGCGAACUGUAAUCUACAGAGUGAUAGCUCACCCAGUUGUGGCGCGGAAUUGCCUUCGAACCGGCUGACAGAGAAGGCGACAGCCCCGUAAGUGGAGACACUACUUAUCGAGCUCCAUUCGAAGAGUCGUGGUUGUUUUGAAUUGCAGCCCUAAUCUGGGAGAUAGACUUCUUCUAAGGCUAAAUAUAUAUGGGAAACCGAUGGCGAACAAGUACUGUGAAGGAAAGAUGAAAAGAACAUUUGAAAAGAGAGUCAAAAGACUUGAAAUCGUUGAGAAGGAAGCGGAAGAAAUGUAUUCUUCUGUUUAGACUGAAGGUGUUCGACUCGCGUAUGCGCGGUUUGCUUGGCUCUUCAUAGGCCACGGGGUUCGCGUGCGUGACUGGAUAGCCGGAGACUGGGCAGUGAGUGCAAAAUGAGGUUUCAGUUCUCCACAGAGAGCUUUUUUAACUUGGGUGGCUUCGGCUGUCAGUUGAUAUCUCGGCUAGUGGGCGCGGAGCCUGAGGAUGCUUUGUGCGAUUUUGCCAGAAUGAGUUUUACCGACCCCACUCGAAACACGUG
rnacentral:rRNA from 1 species